UUUAUGUCCAGGCUGGACAGGUAUACUCCAAAGCUCCUGAAACUGUUCAGUGUGAAGGGAGGAGCGGCUGGCCAGCGCAUCAAGAACUUGUUGAUGGAACUUAUACAGGACCCAAGUGCCUCUACUGCGAAAAAGAGAGAUGUAACUCUGAGAUGUCUCAUUCAGUAUGUGGGAGAGAGUGGACUGGAGCUCAUCUCUGACUAUUAUGGAACAGCAGAGACCAGUGUGCAUGAGGACCUGAGCACUGCCAGCAUGAGGAUCUAUGUUUCCCAUGAGCCAGAUGCAGUGGGCAUCAUCAUUGAGGGAAUCCCAGUGCUU